UUUGAUCUGAUGUUGUGUUUUGUGUUUGAUCUGAUGUUGUGUUUGAUCAGGGCCCUGUUUCACGAAGCAGGUUCACUGAAAACUCUGAGUUUCUUAACCCUGAAAUGAGGUAAACUCAGAGUUUUCUGUUUCACGAAGCGAGGUAACUUAACCCUGAGACAGAGGGGUAACUCUAGCCUGUUUCACAAAGAGGGGUAACUUCAACUCUCGGUCAGUUACCGCAGUAACAGACUCUAUGACUCUAACCUGGUCACCAGCAGGUUUAUCUGAGAAAACCUCGAGUUUCUCUCCGUCUCCGCCCUCUUUCAGCCACACGCUGUUUCAUUUCCUCAUUCAUUCAGUCAGUAAGCGAGCGAGUUUUGGCGUAGAACAGCUUUUAUUAACGAUCCAGUGGAUAAAGGAGCAGCAUUACUGCACAGAUAAUUAAAUAUUCGUCGGUAGAUUGUUAUCAGACCGAGCAUAAAUGUUCUCGCAUUUCCGGACAAUUAUCGGUUUGAGCGGUACCGUUUCGUAAUCGUUUCAAGUCCAUAAUCUACAUAAACAACCUAAUCCGUCCUUACAUUUACAUUACCAACCAGUCAUGCUCUCACAUCCAGCAGAUAUUGUGUGUUGCGCUGCGGUUCUUUUCAAAUGAAAGUUUUUAUAUAAUGUCAGAGAUGCAGAGUAAGACAACUGUAUGGAGGACAGUCAGAAAAGUUUUCCUGGCUCUGAAACCACUUUCACUCAUCAUUGUGGACAUAAACCUGUCAGAACAUCAAGGAGGAUCCACAGGAUUGCAGGUGAAUGAUGUAGAGAUCUGUUAAAUUCAUUUUAAAUCAUAUUCUGUUAAUGACAUUGUGCUGCAGCCUCAGACUGGGAUUAGUCAUUUUAAUUUCUUUUAGGAUUUCCCAGUGUGAUUGGCUGCAUAGAUGCACACACAUCCCCAUCACAGCUCCCUCACAUCAUGAACAGGAAGUCCAUUCACAGCAUAAAUGUGCAGAUCAUAUGUGAUGCUGCAUACAUCAUUUCUAAUGUGGAGGCCACGUGACCUGGGUCUGUUCAUGACUCCAGGAUUUAUGGAGAGUCUAACCUGAGCAACAGACUGCAGCGUGGAGAGUUUGAUGGCCUUCUGCUGGGUGACAGGGGUUACCAUGACAACCCAGGCUGAUGACCUCAUAUCCUGACCCUGAACCAGGCCCCCAACAGAACUUCAACCGGACUCACUGCAGGACCAGAGCCCGGGUGGAGAUGACCGUAGGCCUGCUGAAAGCCCGUUUCCAGAGCCUACGUCUCCUCAGGGUGACCCCUGAGAGGGCCUGUGAUAUUACUGUGGCAUGUGUUGUUCUUCAUAAUAUUACCACUAUUAGAGGAGAGCAACACCCUGCCCUACAAACUGAAGACCCAGAUGAUGAGCUCUGCAGACAUUUAGGCUGUGUGGAUAAAACAACUGCACAGUCAAACAGUCACUUAAUAUUUAGGCUACUUUACAAUGUAAAACAUGAUCAACAUGAAGUACCUCCAUGAGAUAAUGCCGAGGUCUGACCUGUUUGAACAAUGUUUUUAUAUUUCAUCUUAAGCUUCUCCCCCGCAGGAUUUCCCCUAAAUGAAAUAACUUAAUAUUCUACCAUUCAGACAGUUAUUCCCUGUAAUAUUAUUAUGAUUACAAAGGACUACAUUUAAACUUACGCAUUGAUCCGGGCUGUUCUCCACGCCGUCUCUCUCUCUUUUGCAGCUGCAGCGGUGUUGCACUUCUUUCUAAAAACGUGUUCAAACUCGCCAUAUGAGCGCGUUAAAAACUUCCAGUUCAAAAACGCAGCCUUUCGCUUCCCCGUUGCCAUGGUGACUCGUCGAAUCGGGGUUCCACUGAUGCUGUCUUUUCAGACUUGCGGUGCACGCGCGUAACUCCGAGUGAAACUACUCCGAGUUGAUUAACCCAACUCAUAUCAGCCGUUGUGAAACCGAAAACUCAGAGUUUUCUAUCUCAGAGUAGAUCAACUCAGAGUUGAGGAAGAAACUCAGAGUUUCUUGAACCUGCUUCGUGAAAUAGGCCCCUGGUGUUGUGUUUGAUCCGGUGUUGUGUUUUGUGUUUGAUCUGGUGUUGUG